rnacentral:rRNA from 1 species
UAGAGAACGCUGGCGGCGUGCCUAAUACAUGCAAGUCGAGCGAACGGACGAGAAGCUUGCUUCUCUGAUGUUAGCGGCGGACGGGUGAGUAACACGUGGAUAACCUACCUAUAAGACUGGGAUAACUUCGGGAAACCGGAGCUAAUACCGGAUAAUAUUUUGAACCGCAUGGUUCAAAAGUGAAAGACGGUCUUGCUGUCACUUAUAGAUGGAUCCGCGCUGCAUUAGCUAGUUGGUAAGGUAACGGCUUACCAAGGCAACGAUGCAUAGCCGACCUGAGAGGGUGAUCGGCCACACUGGAACUGAGACACGGUCCAGACUCCUACGGGAGGCAGCAGUAGGGAAUCUUCCGCAAUGGGCGAAAGCCUGACGGAGCAACGCCGCGUGAGUGAUGAAGGUCUUCGGAUCGUAAAACUCUGUUAUUAGGGAAGAACAUAUGUGUAAGUAACUGUGCACAUCUUGACGGUACCUAAUCAGAAAGCCACGGCUAACUACGUGCCAGCAGCCGCGGUAAUACGUAGGUGGCAAGCGUUAUCCGGAAUUAUUGGGCGUAAAGCGCGCGUAGGCGGUUUUUUAAGUCUGAUGUGAAAGCCCACGGCUCAACCGUGGAGGGUCAUUGGAAACUGGAAAACUUGAGUGCAGAAGAGGAAAGUGGAAUUCCAUGUGUAGCGGUGAAAUGCGCAGAGAUAUGGAGGAACACCAGUGGCGAAGGCGACUUUCUGGUCUGUAACUGACGCUGAUGUGCGAAAGCGUGGGGAUCAAACAGGAUUAGAUACCCUGGUAGUCCACGCCGUAAACGAUGAGUGCUAAGUGUUAGGGGGUUUCCGCCCCUUAGUGCUGCAGCUAACGCAUUAAGCACUCCGCCUGGGGAGUACGACCGCAAGGUUGAAACUCAAAGGAAUUGACGGGGACCCGCACAAGCGGUGGAGCAUGUGGUUUAAUUCGAAGCAACGCGAAGAACCUUACCAAAUCUUGACAUCCUUUGACAACUCUAGAGAUAGAGCUUUCCCCUUCGGGGGACAAAGUGACAGGUGGUGCAUGGUUGUCGUCAGCUCGUGUCGUGAGAUGUUGGGUUAAGUCCCGCAACGAGCGCAACCCUUAAGCUUAGUUGCCAUCAUUAAGUUGGGCACUCUAAGUUGACUGCCGGUGACAAACCGGAGGAAGGUGGGGAUGACGUCAAAUCAUCAUGCCCCUUAUGAUUUGGGCUACACACGUGCUACAAUGGACAAUACAAAGGGCAGCGAAACCGCGAGGUCAAGCAAAUCCCAUAAAGUUGUUCUCAGUUCGGAUUGUAGUCUGCAACUCGACUACAUGAACGUGGAAUCGCUAGUAAUCGUAGAUCAGCAUGCUACGGUGAAUACGUUCCCGGGUCUUGUACACACCGCCCGUCACACCACGAGAGUUUGUAACACCCGAAGCCGGUGGAGUAACCUUUUAGGAGCUAGCCGUCGAAGGUGGGACAAAUAGUUGGGGUGAAGUCGAAAGGGGAAAAAAAAAAAAAAAAUUCCGGCC